ensembl:lncRNA
GCGGUAUCUCUGGGCCAUACGUUAUCUCUGCCGACAGGUCGUCUGGGACUGGGGCGCCAUACCCCGUUCAGAUCCCAACCUCUCCGGCUCCUUCUCCUCCCUGCUUCUUCCAAAUCCUGCCUGGCCUUCUCUUGCAUUGUCUUGUCUUGUCUUUCUCUCCUCCUGCAUACUGACGGAUUUCUGCGCUCUAAGUUAUGACUAUUCCUCAGUUGGUGUCUAUGGGUUAGAGCUGGCUGUGGAAGAUUUCCCCCAACAAAACAUCAGUCUCUCCUACAAAAAUGGCUCCCACUCUAUCAGGAGUCCAUUUAAUCAAGCUGCCAUCUUCACACUUCAACUUAGCCAACUUCCUCUGCACUUUGCUGUCAAAGUUGACCCCGCUGUGGAAUCUUGUGAUGAAGGAGUAUACUUGCCAAAGUUCCUUCACCCUACCCCAGAGAAUGGAGAACAAAUUCAAGCUAAGAUCAACCAGGAGCUUGAGAUCAUAAUCCAUGCAACAGCCUCUGCCACUGUGGUUCAUAAUAUCACCAUAAGUGGACCCCUGAACAUCACAGUCAACAAGUACAACAAUGGUUCUGAACAGUUUGUUCUGAGGUGGACUCCAAGGGCCGAUGAUCUUGGGGAAUAUUUUCCCGUCUGUUUCAUUGCUGAAAGUCACACAGUAAAUAACACCUACUAUCAAUCUGACAUGAGAUGCGUCAUUGUCGAAGUUGGAAAUGAUACAGAUUCUGAUUCAGCCGUUCCAACUGGAGAGAGUACUAUGUUGACGGAGAUAGUGGCUGGCCUGAGGAUGAAGAUUGAAUCUGAAACUUCACUAACUGAAGCCGAGAUCGAAGAAACGAUCAUAAAGCCGUUUCAAGAGGAGCUUAUCCGUCAUGGUCUACCCAACAGUACCACUCUAAGUCUGAGACGAGUACAUCAGAUCAACCCAUGAGGAAUCCACCAGGACUACUAUUCCAGGCACAAAGGUGCUCUAAAAAGGACUUUCUCUCUGUCCCAAACCAGUGAAGCCCCU